rnacentral:rRNA from 1 species
GACGAACGCUGGCGGCGUGCUUAACACAUGCAAGUCGAACGGAAAGGCCCUGCUUUUGUGGGGUGCUCGAGUGGCGAACGGGUGAGUAACACGUGAGUAACCUGCCCUUGACUUUGGGAUAACUUCAGGAAACUGGGGCUAAUACUGGAUAGGAGCUCCUGCUGCAUGGUGGGGGUUGGAAAGUUUCGGCGGUUGGGGAUGGACUCGCGGCUUAUCAGCUUGUUGGUGGGGUAGUGGCUUACCAAGGCUUUGACGGGUAGCCGGCCUGAGAGGGUGACCGGCCACAUUGGGUCUGAGAUACGGCCCAGACUCCUACGGGAGGCAGCAGUGGGGAAUAUUGCACAAUGGGCGGAAGCCUGAUGCAGCAACGCCGCGUGCGGGAUGACGGCCUUCGGGUUGUAAACCGCUUUCGCCUGUGACGAAGCGUGAGUGACGGUAAUGGGUAAAGAAGCACCGGCUAACUACGUG